GGGCCCGUUUUGGGUAAAUAGCGCAUCUGCCUUCUAGCUUAUAGGAAGUUAGCAGGGGGUCGUGAGUUCAAAUCUCAUCGGGCCCG
rnacentral:tRNA from 1 species